rfam:Hordeum vulgare subsp. vulgare, WGS project CAJW01000000 data, contig: morex_contig_1563136
CUUAUACUCCCUCCGUCUGGAAUUACUUGUCGUAAAAAUUAAUUAAAAUAAAUGUAUUUAAAACUAAAAUACAUCUAGAUACAUUCAUUCCUCCGACAAGCAUUUUCGGACGGAGGGAGUAUAUG